rnacentral:rRNA from 1 species
AGAGUUUGAUCAUGGCUCAGAACGAACGCUGGCGGCAUGCCUAACACAUGCAAGUCGAACGCUUUCAUGGCUUCGGUCAUGAGGGAGUGGCGCACGGGUGAGUAGCGCGUGGGAACCUGCCCUGCAGUGGGGGAUAACCGAGGGAAACUUCGGCUAAUACCGCAUACGCCGGGAAACCGGGAAAGAUUUAUCGCUGCAGG